rnacentral:rRNA from 1 species
GACGAACGCUGGCGGCGUGCUUAACACAUGCAAGUCUAACGGAAAGGCCCUGCUUUUGUGGGAUGCUCGAGUAGCGAACGGGUGAGUAACACGUGAGUAACCUGCCCUUGACUUUGGGAUAACUUCAGAAAACUGGGUCUAAUACCGGAUAGGAGCUCCUGCUGCAUGGUGGGAGUUGGAAAGUUUCGGCGGUUGGGGAUGGACGCGCGGCUUAUCAGCUUGUUGUUGGGGUAGUGGCUUACCAAGGCUUUGACGGGUAGCCGGCCUGAGAGGGUGACAGGCCACAUUGGGACGGAGAUACGGCCCAGACUCCUACGGGAGGCAGCAGUGGGGAAUAUUGCACAAUGGGCGGAAGCAUGAUGAAGCAACGCCGCGUGCGGGAUGACGGCCUUCGGGUUGUAAACCGCUUUCGCCUGUGACGAAGCGUGAGUGAAGGUAAUGGGUAAAGAAGCACCGGCUAACUACGGG